GACGAACGCUGGCGGCGUGCCUAAUACAUGCAAGUAGAACGCACAGUUUAUACCGUAGCUUGCUACACCAUAGACUGUGAGUUGCGAACGGGUGAGUAACGCGUAGGUAACCUGCCUGGUAGCGGGGGAUAACUAUUGGAAACGAUAGCUAAUACCGCAUAAUAUUGAUUAUUGCAUGAUAAUUGAUUGAAAGAUGCUAUUGCAUCACUACCAGAUGGGCCUGCGUUGUAUUAGCUAGUAGGUGAGGUAACGGCUCACCUAGGCGACGAUACAUAGCCGACCUGAGAGGGUGAUCGGCCACACUGGGACUGAGACACGGCCCAGACUCCUACGGGAGGCAGCAGUAGGGAAUCUUCGGCAAUGGACGAAAGUCUGACCGAGCAACGCCGCGUGAGUGAAGAAGGUUUUCGGAUCGUAAAGCUCUGUUGUAAGAGAAGAACGGGUGUGAGAGUGGAAAGUUCACACUGUGACGGUAGCUUACCAGAAAGGGACGGCUAACUACGUG
rnacentral:rRNA from 1 species